rnacentral:rRNA from 1 species
CUACGGGACGCUGCAGUGGGGAAUAUUGCGCAAUGGAGGAAACUCUGAUGCAGCAACGCCGCGUGGAGGAUGACACUUUUCGGAGCGUAAACUCCUUUUAUAUAGGAAGAAGAUGACGGUACUAUAUGAAUAAGCGCCGGCUAACUCCGUGCCAGCAGCCGCGGUAAUACGGAGGGCGCAAGCGUUACUCGGAAUCACUGGGCGUAAAGAGCGUGUAGGCGGAUUAAAAAGUCAGAAGUGAAAUCCUAUAGCUUAACUAUAGAACUGCUUCUGAAACUCUUAAUCUAGAAUAUGGGAGAGGUAGAUGGAAUUUCUGGUGUAGGGGUAAAAUCCGUAGAGAUCAGAAGGAAUACCGAUUGCGAAGGCGAUCUACUAGAACAUUAUUGACGCUGAGACGCGAAAGCGUGGGGAGCAAACAGGAUUAGAUACCUUCGUAGUC